rnacentral:rRNA from 1 species
UACGUAGGGGGCUAGCGUUGUCCGGAUCUAUUGGGCGUAAAGAGCGUGUAGGCGGCCAGGUAGGUCUGCUGUGAAAACUCGAGGCUCAACCUCGAGACGUCGGCGGAAACCAUCUGGCUAGAGUCCGGAAGAGGAGAGUGGAAUUCCUGGUGUAGCGGUGAAAUGCGCAGAUAUCAGGAAGAACACCCGUGGCGAAGGCGGCUCUCUGGGACGGUACUGACGCUGAGACGCGAAAGCGUGGGGAGCGAACAGG